CGCAGGGUGAUGCAGAGGUAGCAAUUUAGGCUCAUAACCUAAAAGUCGUGGGUUCGAGUCCCACUCCUGCAA
rnacentral:tRNA from 1 species